GCUGAAGUGGCGGAAUUGGUAGACGCGCUACAUUCAGGGUGUAGUGUCCGAAAGGGUGUAGGGGUUCGAGUCCCCUCUUCAGCACCA
rnacentral:tRNA from 1 species